rnacentral:rRNA from 1 species
UACGAAGGGGGCAAGCGUUGUUCGGAAUUACUGGGCGUAAAGGGCGCGUAGGCGGAUUUGCAAGUCAGAGGUGAAAGCCCUGGGCUCAACCCGGGAAUGGCCUUUGAGACUGCAAGUCUUGAGUGCGAGAGAGGGUGGCGGAAUACCCAGUGUAGAGGUGAAAUUCGUAGAUAUUGGGUAGAACACCAGUGGCGAAGGCGGCCACCUGGCUCGCAACUGACGCUGAGGCGCGAAAGCGUGGGGAGCAAACAGG